UCACGGUUCGGCUCGUCUUGAAUGCAUUAGCUGACGAUUUCGACUUCAGUUAAACCGUGUGAUAAUACAUCAACGCGGGCAGCCGUCAAGGCGCUGGGUCGUCAUUCGAAGGCUUCUAACCGUCCCUUCGAGGACCGCCUUUACCGGCGUUUCAUUUCACAUCUGGCCUCGAAUCAGGUAGGACUACCCGCUGAACUUAA
rnacentral:misc_RNA from 1 species